AACCUCUCAGGGUCGCACCUGGAGAGUUCCCACUCCUCUACCAGUCUCGACUUGGGGAGGAAGAGUCAAGCAGAGGCCUGUCCAUUCCAUUCCUAGCUUGGCCAGUGGCUAGCGAGUGGCAGGCCAUCUGCUACGAGU